rnacentral:rRNA from 1 species
AUUGAACGCUGGCGGCAUGCCUUACACAUGCAAGUCGAACGGUAACUGGUCUUCGGAUGCUGACGAGUGGCGAACGGGUGAGUAAUCCACCGGAACGUGCCCAGACGCGGGGGAUAACGAGGCGUAAGCUUUGCUAAUAUCGCAGACGAACUAAGGAUGAACGUAGGGGUCCGCAAGCGUUUGCGCGGUUGGAUGGGAGGAUAGCAGACUAGGUAGUUGGGGGGAUAAAAGUGUACCAAGCCGAUGAUCUGUAGCUGGUCUGAGAGGACGACCAGCCACACGGGGACUGAGACUGAGCCCAGACUCCUGCAGGAGGCAGCAGUGGAGAAUUUUGUGCAAUGGGGGAGAGCCUAAUCCAGCAAUACGGCGUGCAGGAUGGAGCCGUUCGGGUGUGAGACUGCUUUUGUACGGAACGAAAAAGCUCUGUCUAAUACCUGGGGUACAUGACGGUACCGGAAGAAUAAGCUCCGGCUAACUACGUG